rnacentral:rRNA from 1 species
UGAGGAAUAUUGGGCAAUGGACGCAAGUCUGACCCAGCCAUGCCGCGUGAAGGAUUGAAGGUCCUAUGGAUUGUAAACUUCUUUUGUAUGGGAAUAAACCCCCCGACGUGUCGGGGGCUGAAUGUACCAUAAGAAUAAGCACCGGCUAACUCCGUGCCAGCAGCCGCGGUAAUACGGAGGGUGCAAGCGUUAUCCGGAUUUAUUGGGUUUAAAGGGUCCGUAGGCGGGCCAUUAAGUCAGUGGUGAAAGCCUACCGCUCAACGGUAGAACUGCCAUUGAUACUGAUGGUCUUGAGUACGAGUGAAGCUGGCGGAAUGUGCAGUGUAGCGGUGAAAUGCUUAGAUAUUGCACAGAACACCAAUUGCGAAGGCAGCUGGCUAACUCGAAACUGACGCUGAGG